rnacentral:rRNA from 1 species
GGAGGUGGCAAACGACCUUUGAUCCGGGCAUGUCCGAAUGGGGAAACCCACCUGAUUUAUCAGGUAUCCCUUACUGAAUACAUAGGUAAGGCGAAGCGAACCGGGAGAACUGAAACAUCUAAGUAACCCGAGGAAAAGAAAUCAACCGAGAUUCCCCAAGUAGUGGCGAGCGAACGGGGACCAGCCCUUAAGCACUUUGAGUUUUAACAGAAGCGUCUGGAAAGUCGCGCCAUAGUGGGUGAUAGCCCCGUAUGUGAAAAGGCUCUUAGUGUGAAAUCGAGUAGGACGGGACACGUGUCAUUCUGUCUGAAUAUGGGGGGACCAUCCUCCAAGGCUAAAUACUCCUGACUGACCGAUAGCGAACCAUUACCGUGAGGGAAAGGCGAAAAGAACCCCGGAGAGGGGAGUGAAAUAGACCCUGAAACCGUGUACGUACAAGCAGUGGGAGCCCUUCGGGGUGACUGCGUACCUUUUGUAUAAUGGGUCAGCGACUUAUUGUUAGUGGCAAGCUUAACCGAAUAGGGGAGGCGUAGGGAAACCGAGUCUUAAUAGGGCGUCCAGUCGCUAGCAGUAGACCCGAAACCGAGCGAUCUAUCCAUGGGCAGGUUGAAGGUGCAGUAACAUGCACUGGAGGACCGAACCGACUCCCGUUGUAAAGGUAGCG